rnacentral:rRNA from 1 species
GACAGAGGGUGCAAACGUUGUUCGGAUUUACUGGGCGUAAAGCGCGUGUAGGCGGCUUUGCAAGUCGGAUGUGAAAGCCCACGGCUCAACCGUGGAAGUGCACCCGAAACUGCAUGGCUUGAGUCUCGGAGAGGAAGGUGGAAUGCUUGGUGUAGAGGUGAAAUUCGUAGAUAUCAAGCAGAACACCUGCGGCGAAGGCGGCCUUCUGGACGAUGACUGACGCUGAGACGCGAAAGCGUGGGGAGCAAACAGG